AAGUUUUGAUUAUUUUGACUCAGUUUGAGAAUUGUACUUAUUACUUUAUUAAUGAAUCACCACUAUUAAUAUUUUGAGGUUGUUAGUGCUCUGUUUAUUUAUUUUGAGGUUUGUUGUGCUUUGCACGUGACCUCCCUUUCCUUUUUGGGAAGGGGGUGUUACAGAGAUGGUAUCAGAGCUUAGGUUCUUUUUUGUAGAAAACCUAUUUAGGUUUGACCUGUGAUUUGUGGGUAAAUCAUUGGGUAGACGUAGGAGUUUAAUUUGAUUUUGUUCUCUGUUUGGUUGGUCUUUAUUUUGACCAAGUGUUUUUAGCUCUUUAAAUUGUAAUUGAUUUGAGAAAGGCGAGUUAACUUGUUAAGAUUAUUAUUGUUAUAUUCGUUGGAGCAAUAAUGUUAGUUAAGGAUGGUGAUUUGAUCAUUAAGGAGAAUAAUGUCAUACUUUGUUCAAUUAAGAAAUGAUUAUACGAUUAUGAUAUGAGCAGUUGUAUCAGUGAGUUUUGAUAUUGGAGAAUUAUUUGUUAGAGUUAUUUCAGGUAAUUACAAAUUAUUAUGAUUUUGGAAUUGAGGAUUUUAUUUGGGUUAGAUUCUGAUUUUUGUUAAGUUGUGAAUAAUUUGAGGUAUGUGAAUCGGUGGGAUAAUAUGAUAAAGUGAAAACUAUUAAGUACAAAGGAUCUCUUGUAAUUUUGAGUUGUUGUAAAGAUUCGAGGUAAUUAGAUUAAUUUUUUGGAGUAAAUGAAUUUUGCGAUUAUUUCCUAGUAGAAUAUUGGAGUUAUCUUAUAUGAAAUUUUGAGUGAUAGUAUGAGGAGAUUUUGGAAUUUGUUGGGUUAAGGUUUGCACUAAGAGAAUGAUUGAUUUAUUAAAUGAUUAGAUAUUAAGUGAUGAAUCUUUAAGAGAUUUUGAAAGCUAUCGUUUGUUUAUUCAGAUAGUAGGAUAUAUGAUUUGGAGUUUGGUAUGGUGAUGGAGAGAUCUUAGUAGUAGUAUAUUUUUG
rnacentral:lncRNA from 1 species